CCCAAAUAUGAAAUAUGAACCCUAAAUCAUCUUCUCUCCAAUUCAAACUCAACAUCAAUUUCAAUUUCACCUUCUAUUUGUUUUGAAUCGAUUUCGAUUUCAAUUGAUUUCAAAUUUCACUCGAUUUCAUUUUCGAUAUGUUCCAUUUUCACUGGGUUUCGAUUUAACUCGGUUUCGAUUUAACUCGGUUUCAAUUUAACUCGGUUUCGAUUUCACCAGAUUUCACCUUCUCUACUCGGAUCUUGCUCGUAGAAACUCUUGUCUCGACUCUUUUUGAGCCUGACCUGCACCUUCAAGGUGGUGGUGGCAAGGUGAGAAAAAGGAAAUAGCUUGUUUAUUUUGCUAGCUUCUCCUUAUAGAUCGGACGGAUGCUUAAAACUUUUCAACAAAAUUCUAGUAACUUCGAUAUGGAUGGUCAUGACAGUGUUAUGGACUUUGAGACAGAAGAACAUAUUGGUUCUACACCUCCAGUUUCUAAUAAUGCUGGUUUGUUGCCUCAAAAGCGUAAAAAUCGGUCAGAAUCAUGGAAUCAUUUUACACCGAUGCCGUCGAACACAGAAAUGUCAAAGUUAGCAAAAUGCAAGCAUUGUGGCUCCUUAAUCAAGUAUAAUGGUGGAACAAGCGCUAUGCAGUGUCUCGUCUAGGUAGUUCAGUUAAUCUAUCAGGUGGUUUUAAUGCAGUUAAUGAUCCGUACCAUUGUGCUGAAUUCUACCAAUCAGAUGAGUGCAGCACAUCAGAGACAGAAUUACAGAAGUAUAUUCAAGAAGAAGUAGAAAACCGUCCUCCAAAUUUUGAUGUGCUAGAGUGGUGGAAGGUGAAUUCAAGCCGAUAUCCAAUACUUGCAAGCAUUGCAAGAGAGGUUUUAGCCAUACCGAUAUCCAGUGUAGCCUCUAAAUCAGCUUUCAGUACCGGAGGAAGAAUCCUUGAUGCAUAUCGUAGUUCUUUAACAUCGGCUAGUGUGGAAGCACUUAUGUGUACUGAAGAUUGGCUCAAAGGAGUAGUUCCAUCUUUUCUUAGUAGUGAGGAUCUCGAUAAUAUUGAUCGAAUUGAGGAUGAACUAUAUUCUGCGCCAGAUGCCGGAAGUUGCUCAUCCUUUGUGUCAGUUGUUGAUGAUUGAGGGUCCACAGGUUUGACUGAGAGAUUUGAACUUUUCAUUUGUGGUCGUGAACUAGGCAAUGCAUUCUCGGAAUUGACCGAUCCUAUAGAUCAGGUUGGAGAUGGCUUGGAUUGCCUUUGAAGAAGAUGGCCAUGGGAAAUUGUGGUUGAAAAUUGGAUGUUAAUGCUUAUGAGCUUAGAUUAAAAAUUAGAACUUUUAGGUCACAUGUUAGUUUAGGUUCAUUUUUGGAAUGUUCAUUUGUAAUGUGCAAUGAGUUUAUCAUGGAAACUAUGUAUUAAGAUGAACUUAUGGUUCAUGAUUAUGUAUGUGGACCAUUUUCUGAUAUGAUAUAAGUGUAUAGCAGAAAAAGUUGUCGGUUGUGGCAUU